rnacentral:lncRNA from 1 species
GCCCUAAGACUUACGGGUUCCGGCCUGUGGCUCUGCCCACUCCACUACUGGGAGAGACCAGUGCCGAGACUCGACUCCAGCCGCAGGGGGCGCUGUUCCGCUUCCCUGCAGCAGGAAGCGGAGCCUCGUAUCCCUUCUGCGAGUGAGCCACGGGGAAACGUCAUAUCCGGUCCUGCGCGCACUGCACCGGAGCCGGAACUGGUGGGUAAAUGGUGGCGGUUUCUUCAAGACCCCUUCUUGGAUAGAGAACUGGCUCUUCCCUACCUCCUGCGACGCUCUUUACAGGGGAUCACCGGGAAGUUCUACCGCUUGGUGACUUCGGACCGCAGCAUAAGCCUCAAACGCUACUUCAAUGUCCACUCUCACAUGCUCCGGAAGACCCUGUCUUCCCGGCUAUCCAAGGAACUGCGGCAGAAGUACAACGUCCCUUCCGUGCCCAUCUGCAAGGACGACGAGGUCCAGGUAGUUAUCACCAGGCUGGAACCAGACUAAGACAGGAAAAGAAUUCUUCAACACAAAGCCAAGUCUCAUCAAGUUGGAAAGAGAAAGGCCACUGUAGGGAUCUCAUGGAGGAUGCAGGAGUGAAAUGAGCUGUCGUGCACCCAGGGCUAACUGCAGAGGCCUUGUCUUGUGCCGGCUUCUUUGAAACUUUUCAAAGUGUGUCUGAUGUGUUUCAUUGUCCACCUGUUUUGCUACUGAACUGUCACUCUGUAAAUCUCCUUUUGCAGUUUUGAUAAUUUAUGAAUAAAAAUUGGAACUAUUUCCCA